rnacentral:lncRNA from 1 species
GUGCGUCCUUCCCUGCUAGCGCACUACACGGCAGGUUUCAUAGCUUGACAGCAAAGUGUUUGAAAACGAAGAGCAGGAAUUCCGCGGUUCCUGCCCGGCCUCGCCAUCCAGCUGGGAGAAGAGCACGGUCAUUUCCUUCACUUAGUCCACGGCCGCUGGGCGCUCAUCCCCAGCACAGCCCUCCCCAUGCCGCGGCAAAGACUGUUGCUGUCCUGCUGAGGGAUGUGCCCCCGGGGAUUCAAUCGAGAUUCUGUAAGAUGUGGGGGAUGUGGCGGGGGUGGGGGGGCUUCUCCACAUCCCCAGGGCUCUCCUUCUUCCCCAGUGAGGUGGGAGAAGCCGCAGAUUGGGGUCUGCUGAGGAGCGGGCCUACGUGAGGCCCAGGUCGUGACCCACGGCUCCGGGGACCACAAGGUAAACAGUUUCGGCACAGGGUGCACCCACUAGGUCAUAGGUGGAUUCAGCCUUCUCUGAGAACCGAGAAGAUUCUGGAGUCUUUUGAAGCAGGAAAGGAGAUCAGAGGAGGAGAUGGUGGCAAAGCGGGGACUGAGACUCUUGAAAUGUGUUUAUCCCAGGCAGAGCAGCCG